CCUACGGGUGGCAGCAGUGAGGAAUAUUGGUCAAUGGGCUUACGCCUGAACCAGCCAAGUCGCGUGAGGGAAGACUGCCCUAUGGGUUGUAAACCUCUUUUGGCAGGGAGCAACGCCGGCUACGUGUAGCCGGACUGAGAGUACCUGAAGAAAAAGCAUCGGCUAACUCCGUGCCAGGAGCCGCGGUAAUACGGAGGAUGCGAGCGUUAUCCGGGUUUAAUGGGUUUAAAGGGUGCGUAGGCGGAAUGCCAAGUCAGCGGUAAAAUGGCGGGGCUAAACCUGGAAUCGCAGUUGAAACUGGCGUUCUUGAGUGGGCGAGAAGUAUGCGGAAUGCGUGGUGUAGCGGUGAAAUGCAUAGAUAUCACGAAGAACUCCGAUUGCGAAGGCAGCAUACCGGCGCCCAACUGACGCUGAAGCACGAAAGCGUGGGUAUCGAACAGGAUUAGAUACCCUUGUAGUC
rnacentral:rRNA from 1 species